UGAGGAAUAUUGCACAAUGGGCGCAAGCCUGAUGCAGCGACGCCGCGUGUGGGAUGAAGGGGCUACGCCUCGUAAACCACUGUAGCCCGGGACGAAAAACGCCUUAGAGGCGUUAGACGGUACCGGGAAAGUAAGGGUCGGCUAACUACGUGCCAGCAGCCGCGGUAAUACGUAGGACCCAAGCGUUGUCCGGAUUUACUGGGUGUAAAGGGUGCGCAGGCGGAUGGGUAAGUCAGGGGUGAAAGUCUGCAGCGUAACUGUAGAAUUGCCUUUGAUACUGCUCAUCUUGAGUGUGGGAGAGGUUGAUGGAAUUCCAGGUGUAGCGGUGAAAUGCGUAGAUAUCAGGAGGAACACCGGCGGUGUAGACGGCUUGCUAGACCAUAACUGACGCUGAGGCAAGAAAGCGUGGG
rnacentral:rRNA from 1 species